rnacentral:misc_RNA from 1 species
UACGUAGGGUGCGAGCGUUGUCCGGAAUUAUUGGGCGUAAAGAGCUCGUAGGCGGCGUGUCGCGUCGGAUGUGAAAGCCUGGGGCUUAACCCCGGGUUGGCAUUCGAUACGGGCAGGCUGGAGUACGGCAGGGGAGAUCGGAAUUCCUGGUGUAGCGGUGAAAUGCGCAGAUAUCAGGAGGAACACCGGUGGCGAAGGCGGAUCUCUGGGCCGAUACUGACGCUGAGGAGCGAAAGCGUGGGGAGCGAACAGG